AUUGAACGCUGGCGGCAGGCUUAACACAUGCAAGUCGAGCGAGAGGCGGACGGGUGAGUAAUGUCUGGGAAACUGCCUGAUGGAGGGGGAUAACUACUGGAAACGGUAGCUAAUACCGCAUACCAUCGGAUGUGCCCAGAUGGGAUUGGCUCGUGGGUGGGGUAAUGGCUCACCUAGGCGACGAUCCCUAGCUGGUCUGAGAGGAUGACCAGCAACACUGGAACUGAGACACGGUCCAGCUUCCUACGGGAGGCAGCAGUGGGGAUUAUUGAACAAUGGGCGAAAGCCUGAUGCAGCCAGGCCGCGGGUGUGAAGAAGGCCUUCGGGUUGUAAAGUACUUUCAGCGAGGAGGCGUUACUCGCAGAAGAAGCACCGGCUAACUCCGUGCCAGCAGCCGCGGUAAUAC
rnacentral:rRNA from 1 species